rnacentral:rRNA from 1 species
UACUUGUACUGAUUGAGAUUUUAACACGAAGUGAGUGGCGAACGGGUGAGUAACACGUGGGUAACCUGCCCAGAAGUAGGGGAUAACACCUGGAAACAGAUGCUAAUACCGUAUAACAGAGAAAACCGCAUGGUUUUCUUUUAAAAGAUGGCUCUGCUAUCACUUCUGGAUGGACCCGCGGCGUAUUAGCUAGUUGGUGAGGUAAAGGCUCACCAAGGCAGUGAUACGUAGCCGACCUGAGAGGGUAAUCGGCCACAUUGGGACUGAGACACGGCCCAGACUCCUACGGGAGGCAGCAGUAGGGAAUCUUCCACAAUGGACGCAAGUCUGAUGGAGCAACGCCGCGUGAGUGAAGAAGGGUUUCGGCUCGUAAAGCUCUGUUGUUAAAGAAGAACGUGGGUAAGAGUAACUGUUUACCCAGUGACGGUAUUUAACCAGAAAGCCACGGCUAACUACGUGCCAGCAGCCGCGGUAAUACGUAGGUGGCAAGCGUUAUCCGGAUUUAUUGGGCGUAAAGCGAGCGCAGGCG